UGGCAGAGCUUUUACCAUUAAUAAAAGAUCGGAUAAAAUUUAUUCGUCUUUUGAAAACAACAAAACAAUCUGUUUCAGCAACAUUAGAUAAUUCUGAAUCUAGCUAAACUGCAGUUGUAUCAAGUGUUAUCAGUGUAAAUAAUAAAAAGGGCGAAACAACAAACAGUGGCAGUUUUCCAGAAAUUGAAGAAGCUGAAUGUGUACAUAGCCAGGUGCAAGAAUUUCCUUUUGUAUAUCAGUUGCCACUUUUUCCGGAUAAUGUUGUAGCUAAGCUACAAUGUCAAGACAAGGCUAGUUUUGGUUUAGGCUCAAAAAGCAAAGCGCUCUUAAUUGAUGCACUAUUUGAUGACUUAAAAAGGCGUGACAUUUUGUAUCCAACCAGAAGAAUAUAUUCUGCUGUUAGCUCAGCAGUUAUAUUAAAAUAUCCUUUUUUGGCUGAUUAUGAUGGAAGUAGUGUAAUGCAAUUACCAUUAUAUAUUAUUGAUUAUAUUUAUAUUUGUCAUCAAUUGUUAAAUAUUAAAAUUGUAUUGUAAAAUUUAAUAUAUAUGUCUAUUUCACAUUUUAAAUAAGUAAUUUGAGUUUAGAAUACUAUUAGAGUAGCUCUUCGAAGGAAAUUUAAAAAAUACAGGCAACCCCUUUGUAGCGAAAAUUCAAUUGCUGUAACAAGAGAAAAAUUUGGAAGGCCUGGUGUUUCGGGAAGAAAACGAAAAGUAGAUCAAGUUGAAAUUAAUCAUCCUGACAACAUUACCCUCUCAAAAACAGCUCGAGUUAAGUUGGCUAAUGUGGUACAAUGUGAGGAUGACAUAAGCAUAAAAAAACAUCAAGAUGCUUUAAAAAAAGAAAUAAAAAAACAGACACCAAGCUUUGAUAUAAUCAAAGAUAAAAUGAAAAGAACAUGUGAGUACAGACAACUUUUCUGCCAUGCCCACACAACUGCAGAAGUUCUGGAAGAAUUUCCCUGUUUACGACUAAAUAUUUUUUUUACAGCAGAUGUGCUUUUGCUGUAUGGUGUAGAUGUAACCAAUUUAAAAAUGAAAUUUCUAACCCUUUAUGAUGCUGUGAUCAAAGAAGCAGCCAAAGGAUGCAAAAAAUAUUGUGAAUAUUCAAGAAUGAUAAACAAAUAUUUAGAAGAAACUUUGUACA